CUCAGGUCCAACAGGUCGAAAGUGACCAAAGCCCAGACUGCGCCCACCGCCGACACACCAAACAGCCACUCCAGAAGUUUAGUCAUGAUGAGAGCAGCCGCGGGGCUUUCAGCUACCCACCGCGGACUGGCCAUGUCUUGUGGAAGGUGAAACCACUCCUGCAGUUUGGAUUCCAGUCCAACUCCCACCUGUUCAAAAGAGAAAAAAAAACAGUUUUUGUAAUGAACUAAACAUUUGUCUUUUAGAAAAUCUUCACAUAACUGAUUGAACUAGUCAUCUCUUUUCCCAUCUACGAUUAUUUGAAGCAAUUCAGAAAUACAAGCAUUUUUAAGAGA